UACAGAGGGUGCGAGCGUUAAUCGGAAUUACUGGGCGUAAAGCGCGCGUAGGCGGCUUUGCAAGUCGGGUGUGAAAUCCCCAGGCUUAACCUGGGAACUGCAUUCGAGACUGCAUUGCUAGAGUAUGGGAGAGGGAAGUGGAAUUUCCGGUGUAGCGGUGAAAUGCGUAGAUAUCGGGAGGAACACCAAUGGCGAAGGCAGCUCGCUGGGACGUGACUGACGCUGAGACACGAAAGCGUGGGGAGCAAACAGG
rnacentral:rRNA from 1 species